GGAUGAACGUUGGCGGUGUGCCUAAUACAUGCAAGUCGAACGAAGAGAGUAGCAAUACAAUCUUAGUGGCGAACGGGUGAGUAACGCGUUGGUGAUCUGCCUCGAAGUGUGGAAUAACCUCCCGAAAGGGAAGCUAAUACUGCAUAAUAUCCAAGAGAUUAGAUGCUUUUGGAUUAAAGGAGUAAUUCGCUUCGAGAGGAGCCUGCGUCCCAUCAGCUCGUUGGUAGGGUAACGGCCUACCAAGGCUAUGACGGGUAGGGGACCUGAGAGGGUGGCCCCCCACAAUGGAACUGAAACACGGUCCAUACACCUACGGGUGGCAGCAGUAGGGAAUAUUAGAAAUGGGCGAAAGCCUGAUCUAGCAACACCGCGUGUGCGAUGAAGGCCUUCGGGUCGUAAAGCACUUUUUGGAGGGAAUAGGAAGGAAGGUACCUCCAGAAUAAGUCUCGGCUAACUACGUGCCAGCAGCCGCGGUAACACGUAGGAGGCAAACGUUAUCCGGAUUCACUGGGCGUAAAGCGCGUGUAGGUGGUUCUGUAAGUAGGGCGUGAAAGCUCCCGGCUCAACUGGGAGAGGCCGUACUAAACUGCAGAGCUAGAGGAUGGUAGAGGGAGGUGGAAUUCCAGGUGUAGUGGUGAAAUGCGCAGAUAUCUGGAGGAACACCAGUGGCGAAGGCGGCCUCCUGGACCAUUCCUGACACUCAGACGCGAAAGCUAGGGUAGCAAACGGAAUUAGAGACUCCGGUAGUCCUAGCCCUAAACGAUGCAGACUAGGCGUCGGCGGUUUAAUCACCGUCGGUGUCCAAGCUAACGCGAUAAGUCUGCCGCCUGAGGACUACGGCCGCAAGGCUAAAACUCAAAGGAAUUGACGGGUCCCCGCACAAGCAGCGGAGCGUGUGGUUUAAUUCGAUGCUCCGCGAAAAACCUUACCUGGGUUUGACAUAACAGUGGUAGAGAAGUGAAAACGGACCGACCCCUCGGGGAGCUGUUACAGGUGUUGCAUGGCUGUCGUCAGCUCGUGUCGUGAGAUGUUCGGUUAAGUCCGCUAACGAGCGCAACCCGCGCUGUGUGUUACAAGUGUCACACAGUACCGCCGGUAUUAAGUCGGAGGAAGGUGCGGAUGACGUCAAGUCAGCAUGACCUUUAUAUCCAGGGCUACACACACGCUACAAUGGUCAGAACAAUAGGUUGCCAAGCCGCAAGGCGGAGCCAAUCCUAAAAAGUCGGUCUCAGUUCAGAUUGCAGGCUGCAACUCGCCUGCAUGAAGAUGGAGUUGCUAGUAACCACAGGUCAGCGAUACUGCGGUGAAUACGUUCCCGGGCCU
rnacentral:rRNA from 1 species